UGGGGAAUUUUGGACAAUGGGGGCAAGCCUGAUCCAGCCAUGCCGCGUGAGUGACGAAGGCCUUAGGAUUGUAAAGCUCUUUUGCCAGGGACGAUAAUGACGGUACCUGGAGAAUAAGCCCCGGCUAACUUCGUGCCAGCAGCCGCGGUAAUACGAAGGGGGCUAGCGUUGUUCGGAAUUACUGGGCGUAAAGCGCACGUAGGCGGAUUUGUUAGUCAGGGGUGAAAUCCCGGGGCUCAACCUCGGAACUGCCUUUGAUACUGCAAGUCUCGAGUCCGAUAGAGGUGAGUGGAAUUCCUAGUGUAGAGGUGAAAUUCGUAGAUAUUAGGAAGAACACCAGUGGCGAAGGCGGCUCACUGGAUCGGUACUGACGCUGAGGUGCGAAAGCGUGGGGAGCAAACAGGAUUAGAUACCCCCGUAGUCCCUGAGCGGGCUGGCAAGGCGCAU
rnacentral:rRNA from 1 species